rnacentral:lncRNA from 1 species
GGGACCUUGUUUGCUCUGGCAGACAGGGAGCCCAUUCAGAGCCCGCGGGGUGGCCCAGGCAGAGUCUGGCCGGGGAGCAUGGCCCCUACGUCUGAGGGAGGCUCCAGUCCGUCCGCAGAGGACGAGGCCGUGGGUUCGAGAAAUCCUCGUAGUGCUUCCUAGAGUUAACGCGGGCCCAGAAGCAUUACCAGUUCCAAGAUAUUUUGCAAAUAUUCUGGAACACAUUAGCAGAGGAAGGAGUAACUUUUGGGAGUGUUAUAAACAGGUGUGGCAGAGACCGCAGCGCUCACAAUAUUUGACACCUGUGCUCCUCUCGUCCUCCUGGGCAACCACUGGACCACACCCCCAGCCUCCCUACAGUCAGAUGGAGCCACUGACUGGGUUCCGGCCAAAGAAAUGGGAGCAGACAUAAUAUGUGCCACGUCCAGACCUGGCCCACAAAAACCUCCCACACAACACAAAAAUUAACAAAAUGGAUCACAGACCUAAAAGUAAAACAUAAAACUUUUAAGAAAAAACUGAAGAAAAUCUUUGGGAUCCAGGGCUAGUCAAACAGUUCUUAGGCUCGAUAGAAAAUCACAACCCAUAAAAGGAAAUAAAUGGAGAGAUUAGCUUUCAUGCAAAUUAAAAACCUUUGUUCUUAGAAAGGUCCUGUUAAGAAGACAAGUUACAGACUGGGAGAAAACAUGUUCACCCCGUAUUUCCAGAUAUCUAGAAUACAUAAAGAACUCUCAAAACUCAAUAAGCAAAAAGCAAACAAUCCAAUCAGAAAAUGGGCAAAAGACAUGAAGAGAGAGUCUACCAAAGAGGAUACAGAGAAGCUAAUGAGCCCAUGAAAAGGUGUGCAAUGUUACUAACCAGCAGGGAAACACAAAUUAAAAUGACAGAUAGCAUCACACACCUAUGGGAUUAGCUCAAAUGAAAAACAGUGGCAACACUAAUGCUGGUAGGGUGUGCAGAAAUGGCCUCCCUCACACAUUGCUGGUGGGCCUGUCCAAUGGUAGGCCAUACUGGGACAGUUUGGCAGUUAAAACGACAAAACAUGCAACUCUCUUCCACCCCAGCGGUUACGCUCCUGAGCACUUAUCUCAGAGAAAUGAAGACUUGUGUUCACACAAAGACCUCUAUAAAAAUGUUUACAGCAGCUUUAUUCAUAGUAGCCCAAAACUGGAAACAACCCAGGUCUCCUUCGGUGGGUGAAUGGCUAAACAACCGUGGUCCAGCCACACCACAGCAUACUAUUCAGGAACAAAAAAGAACAAACUAUUGCUACAUGUAACGACCUGGAAGAACCUCCAGAAAAUUAUGCUGAGUGAAAAUAAUCUCAAAAAGUUAUGUGAUGUAUGAUUCCACAUAUAUAUAGUAUUAUUGAAAUGACUAUAGAAAUGGAGAACAGAUUACUGGUUGCCGGGGCUUAAGGUGGCGAUGGAGGUAGGAAGGAAGCAGGUGUGGCUAUAAAGGGGCAACCUGAGGGAUCCUUGUGGUGAUGGCCCUGUUCUCUCUCCUGACUAUAUCUGUGUCAGCAUUGGCUAUGAUAUCGUAGUAAAACUUUGCAAGAUGUUACCAUUGGGGGAAACUGAGUGAAGGGUCCACAGGAUCUUUCUGUAUUAUUUCUUACAACUUCAUAUAAAUCUACAAUUGUCUCAAAAUAAAAAGUUUAAUUACUGCUCCCCCUACAAAUACUCCUCCUCCACAUGAUCUUUGCCCUUUCCCCCUCCACUGGACAGAUGGAGACACUCCAAGGACUUUGAGGAGGGCAAGGCACAAGAAGAAAGGGGUCUGGGUCCCUGAAUGGCCGUGUGGAGGAGAGUCAGCCCCUCGCUGCCCCGUACUGAGCUGAGAUGUAAUCAAGAAAAAGCUGUUUUUGUGUUAAACCACUGACAGCUGGGGACUGUUUGUUACUGCAGUCACUCCUUACCCUGCUAAUGUCACAUUGGAGGAUCUGGGAUUUUAACCCAAAUUCAGGCUUCACAGGGAACCGACAAGUAUGCUGAUUUUUCCAUGAAACAAACUAUUUUGAUUUCUGGUGCGAAGAAAUUACCCUAUCUUCCAUCUGUGUGAAAACCGGGGAUCACCUCCUGCCUUCAGCACUUUCUGGCUUUUCGAGUUUGAGUCCAUCACUGGACUUCCCAAAGCCUCACUCUCCCGACUGCAAGACUAGGGAAUUGGGAAGGUGGGUGCAUGUCUGUGGAAUGACGGAGCGCUCUGUGCACGCAGAGAUCUGGGGGUGUGUCCAGCAGCCUCCUCUUUGUUCUCCAACAAAGUUCAUCCAACUCCUCUGGCCUCCAGGUUCUUCUGUCUUAGCCCCAGAGAGACCUUCUUUAAAAAUGAACCUGAUCAGUUGCUUUAGUUGACAAAUAACCACAACAACAAUGACAGAAAGAAAGUAAUGCUAUUAUUAAUAGUGACAGCAUCAUUUAUCAACCACCUACUGUGUUCCUAGUGAUACUUGCAGGCAACCUGUCUACCCUCGGGCUCGUGCUGGCGUUUCCCCGACCCUCCAGCUGCGACAGUGGUGGAGUGCUGCUCACAUCACGCCACCCCAACGUCCUCUCCUGCCUCCUCCUUCCACUGAUGAUCACGCUGGACUCAUGAUUCCACUGGGCCCAUCUGGAUGACCGACGAUAAUCUCCCCAUCUGACAGUCUGCUCGUGAGCAGCCUUAAUUCCACCGGCUGCCUCAGCUCCCUUUUGCCACGUCAGGGAGCAUACUCACAGGUUCCGGGGAGUAGGAAGUGGCCCUCAUACCUACCACACUGGUCCACGGCAGAAUGACAAAAAUGACAGUGUGCCGCUUUUCCCAUGAAGACAGUUUUUAAAAUUAUAAUUUUAAAAUGAUAUGCCUCUGAAUGUAUGCCUUCUCACUUUGGGGGGAUGGGCUGUUAAAUAUGAAAUGUAUCAAGUAUGAAAUGUCCUUUCGAGAAAAAAAGGAAAAGUUGGAAAACUGCAGUUUUCCUGGUCCAUGAAGUUCCAACUUGUGGGAAACGAUACUUUGGGCUAAGUAGUCCCACAGACGCACUCCCCAGAGCAUCACAGGCACGUGCCAGAGGCUGGCAGCUCGGGGUGCUGCUGCAGGCCUGGGGUCCUCCACGUUAUGGAAAUAUGAGGGUGCCAAUGACAGGUGCUUCUGAUCCCGUUCCGAUCGGCUCCCUGAUCAGGACACAUGUUGGGCUGAGGCGUGGGGCCCAGGCUGUCAGCAACCACAAGGUAGCCACAAGAGGUAGGCUCCUGUGACAUGUGUCACCCUCCAUCGCUGACAGGUGGGCCAAGGGGGACGUGUAUACACAUAUGCUUAUCUGAGUCUGGUGAGGUUCCAUGGAUGGGAUAAGAGGGCUGUGUGGUCUUUGACAAGUCAUUCAACCUCUCUGAGCCUGUUUCUGCAUCAUCAAUAAAAUACAGAGCAUAACACCUUCCUCAUGGGGCUUAUGAGGCUAAUGAGAUCCUAAAUGAGAAGAACUUCAUGUAGUCCACACAAAGAUUCUAUAUUUUAAAUAAACAAAGACCAGUUUUUACCUUACCUUGUGGAAAAUACUCUUCACAUGUUUGAGGGUUAAAAAUUACUGUAAUCUUUAAUAUAAUGUUUCAUGGUUUUUGCUGUUGUCAUUUUUCUUAGAGAAACAAGUUAAACCAGAAGCAACUUUAAAAAAUCUUCUAAGUCUGGUGGGCGUGUCCAAUGGUUUUGAUGUCAAGAUGAUGACAAAUUCUCUCCAGAGAUGGUAUAAAAUCCAACCAUUGACAAGCAGAAAUUCCUGGAAUCUUCUACCACUCUACAGCACUAGUCUAAAAGAACACAGCUUUUAGAACUAAACUGGGAUCCAUCCAUGGCAACAGGUGCAGAGGAACCCAAGGAGAAUGAAGGACCUGUCCGGUGAGCAUCUGCUGUGAGCCCACACUGUGCUGCGCAAGAAGGGGCCCUCAGGGAAGCACUGGAACAGCUCGCAAAGUGCUGCGCUGAAGCUAAGUUAAUCCUCUCCAUAGCCAUGUGAGCUAAGAAUUAUUUUCACUCCUCUCAGACAGAAGAGGAAACUGAGUCACAGGGGGAUUAAAAAACUUACCUGAGAUCACUGAGACAGAAAGAGGCCAAGCCAGGCUGCAGUCUGGCUCCAGGGCACAAGUCUCCAUCGCCACCCUCUACUACCUGCCUGUGGGGUCUGUGGUCCAGGCAGAGUCCAAAGGUUGGUCAGAUGUCUCAUUUCUUUUGCAGAGAAUAAAACCAAACACCAUAAGUAUGCAGUUAUGAAGUGGGCUGUUUUGUGACUCUUUGAUUUUGUUCAUCUUAAUUUGAGGGUUUAUCAAUCAGACCUGAGAGAUUUCAAACCUGAACUCAAACAAGGGACCACAGAGAUCUCUCUCCUAUCGUGUUUUCCACGUGGAGCAUCCCCACUCUCUCCCCCAGCCUUCUACAGCAUCAUCCCUCAGCAGAAUGAUAGUCCACAAGUAGCCUGUGUAGCUCUCAGAAACUGAUUUCUUACAUCCUACAUUUGAAGUCUGGAAUAUUAACCAAAUAGUGCUACCACCAAGGACAUGUUCAGUCUGUCCCUAAAGAGGGCUGGGAGUGUGGCUCACACUCACCAUGUAGUUCUUGCUUUCUUUGUAGGGGAGAUUAGCAGGCAAAAUUGCUUUUCUCUACUCCUCCACAGAGAUAAUUUAUCACUAUUGAAGAGUGGUAUGCUUCUCUACUUGCUUGGUUUGGAAUUGCAGCAGACAUCCAAACUUUUGCAAAAUUCCAUUGCUUUCUGCAUGGAAUGCAACUCAACGCAUCGAUGUCUUCCAUAGAGCAGAGCCAGAGCCAUGUUAGUAAUGGAAUCCUCAGAGCCCGCUGACACCCAGAGCCUUGCUGUUGACGGCCUCAGUUGCUCAAGUGCACGAUUGCACUUUACAGGUCUAAGGUCUUCCCUCAACCCCCGCCCUGCUCCAUCCAGCACAAGAAGAUGCAGUGCUCACUUGAUGGAAUUAAAACAUGCCAAAACCCCACAAAAGAAUGCAGGCUGGGUGUAGCACUCAUCUGCUAAGUAUGAAAUCUUUCCCUGAGUGAGUUCUCCACAAAUCAGGUCAGUCCCGACAGCCGACACUACCUUAGGCAGGGAGGGGCCGACGGCGCCAUUAAAAACUCCUGCCAGCGCUUGCCUCAGACAAUGUAAAUACAAAACUGGUGCUUGUGUUUAUUUAAAGUUAUUGGCAUUGGGCUCAUUCCUGGUAGACAAAGAUUAUAUUGUUUACAACAGCAUCCAGAUGAUGGACAAGACUUUGUAUAAUAUAAAUCGAACUAUGCAGGGGGGGCACCCCUUAGCAUAAACAACUUCCCUCAAGCAAAACAAAUCCUGCCAAGAUUCAAGCUGGAAUCCAUUUAUUACCCGACUUCAAGCUGACUUGUUUCAACAUUCAGCAACUGCAAAAGCAGAAGGAUAAGAACUGAUGUCCGAGGCAUUACCAGCCAGUCCUUUAACUUCUAACGCUUUUUGCAAAAGGUGUUUCUUGCUUUGUCAUGUUGCAAUGUACAUUUCCUGCAAAUGCUGUCAUUCUUGUCACUUCACAGCAUGGUGUGGCGGUGGACCAUGCAUGCAUAUAGAAGGUGAGCAGGAGCAAGGGGACACCCUGAAGAGUGCCACUGUCCUUUCAAAAGCAUUUGGGGGGCUGGCCCCCUGGCCGAGUGGUUAAGUUCGCGCGCGCUCCGCUGCAGGCGGCGUAGUGUUUCGUUGGUUUGAAUCCUGGGCGGGGACAUGACGCUGCUCAUCAAACCACGCUGAGGCAGCGUCCCACAUGCCACAAGUAGAAGGACCCACAACGAAGAAUAUGCAACUAUGUGCUGGGGGGCUUUGGGGAGAAAAAGGAAAAAAUAAAAUCUUUAAAAAAAAAAAAAAAGCAUUUGGCUCGGGUGUAAACCCAGAAUCGGGAAACAUAGUGAGGGUAAGGACACAGAGACAGAUAUUCAGACUUAGGGGUGAACGUACAGAGCUCCAGCGGACGCCAAAGCCUGCCAUGAGCCCUGUGGCUGCUGGGAUUCGGCCUUGCCUGGAAUUGGGGACAGGGCCUUGUUGAGAUUUAUUCACUUGGGAGCCGAAGGGCCUCCUGGGAAAGACUAACCCGAGUGAAGGCAGAAUCUAGCUACAAGACAGCCAGAGACUGUGAGUCGGCGGCAAAGGCCCUCGCAGGAACAAUCGUGCCUGGGAACACUGACCCCGAGAAGAAGGGGGUGUGCACAUGGGAAGGAGGAACAGCGGCGGUGAAGGUCACAGGGGGAGGCACCCAAGGAGUGAAGACACUGGGUGUGUGGUGAGGGAACACACAGGAGGAGGAUCUGGACGCUGCCUCAGCACUGGGGGCAGCGAGUGAGCGUCUAAAGCGAGCGCCUCGCUCCAGCUCCGCGCAGGAGACGGGAUCGAGGGAGGGAGGGCGGCCGGUGCGCUCAGACGCCCGCGUCCCUUCGGAGCCCUCUCCCUUCUCCGUGUGUGUCUCCGUCGGGUUAGGACUGUCUUUCCCUCAGGGCCCGCGGGGUGCUGCACACGGUGGGAUUCCGUGUCGUGGAGGGACUCCCUCGCUCCGUCGGCCCGCUUGCCCCCUGCUCUCCGCGGCUGCGCCAUCUUCCUCGCCCCCUUGGGGCGGCCGGCCUUCUGAGUGCCCGUCUUGGUUAUUUACAG